UAAAAAGGAAAGUGAGAAGGCAUGAACGAAGGCAGGAGUGUCUCUGCCCAGGCCCCAAGACCAGGUGCUAAGGGUCUAAGGACCACUAUGCUCUCAAGUCAUUUUUGAACCGAACUUUAUGUAGAGGUAUUUUAUGUUGCAGCUUUCUCCUUGUACACAGUUUGAAGAUUGUCUUGGAUUUCCCCUGAGAGAAUUUUCCACCACAGGAUAUCUAACAGCUGUAGAGUUGUGUGAUUCUGUCUUUGGGUCGUCCUGGCACCUGAGUGGUUUCCUGGGUUUAUGGAACUACCUUUUUUUUUUUUUAAUUUUCCACAAGAAAUUAAAAAAUUUUUUUUAAGUUUUCAAGAUUCACUUUUUUAAGAUUUUGAGUUGCAAAUUUUCCCCUCCCGCCCCCAGAAGAUGUCAUGCAAUCUGAUAUAUGCCAUACAUGUACAAUCCUAUUAAGCAUAUUUUUAUGGAACUAUUUCACAGUUUCUCUAAGCCUGUAUAGAAGUAUUCCUGGGGGGGGGGGUGUGAAAUAGGGGUAGGAAAAGAAGAGUGCAUAAAUUAACUAGGAAAUUGAAUUUUCAAAUCAAAAUCAAUGCACCAGUACUUGCAUAUCAUUAUUACUUGAAAGAAAAGAUGCAAACGGGAAGGGUUUUUAUGGUAUCCUGGCAAUUUUAUUUUUGCCUUAAGACUUCUGACUGUGGAGUGUAUACUUAAUCAGGUCUCAGUUCUACUUGGAAAACCCUAAACCAUGCAUAAUGGCCAUAGUUUAAAAACUUUGAUUAAAUGAACAUAAAGCCAUAAA